rnacentral:rRNA from 1 species
UGGGGAAUUUUGGACAAUGGGCGCAAGCCUGAUCCAGCCAUUCCGCGUGCAGGAUGAAGGCCUUCGGGUUGUAAACUGCUUUUGUACGGAACGAAACGGUUCUCUCUAAUACAGGGGGCUAAUGACGGUACCGUAAUAAUAAGCACCGGCUAACUACGUGCCAGCAGCCGCGGUAAUACGUAGGGUGCAAGCGUUAAUCGGAAUUACUGGGCGUAAAGCGUGCGCAGGCGGUUUUGUAAGACAGAGGUGAAAUCCCCGGGCUCAACCUGGGAACUGCCUUUGUGACUGCAAGGCUGGAGUACGGCAGAGGGGGAUGGAAUUCCGCGUGUAGCAGUGAAAUGCGUAGAUAUGCGGAGGAACACCGAUGGCGAAGGCAAUCCCCUGGGCCUGUACUGACGCU